UACGGAGGGGGCUAGCGUUGUUCGGAAUUAUUGGGCGUAAAGAGCUCGUAGGCGGUUUGUCGCGUCGGCUGUGAAAACUCGGGGCUCAACCCCGAGCCUGCAGUCGAUACGGGCAAACUAGAGUGUGGUAGGGGAGACUGGAAUUCCUGGUGUAGCGGUGAAAUGCGCAGAUAUCAGGAGGAACACCGGCGGCGAAGGCGGGUCUCUGGGCCAUAACUGACGCUGAGGAGCGAAAGCGUGGGGAGCGAACAGG
rnacentral:rRNA from 1 species